UCAGCCGCCGCGGUAAUACCAGCUCUCCGAGUGGUGUGGACGUUUAUUGGGCCUAAAGCAUCCGUAGCUGGCUGAACAAGUCCCCUGUUAAACCCACCGAUUUAAUCGUUGGCGUGCGGGGGAUACUGCUUGGCUAGAGGACGAGAGAGGCAGACGGUAUUCCCGGGGUAGGGGUGAAAUCCUAUAAUCCCGAGAAGACCACCAGUGGCGAAGGCUGUCUGCUAGAACGCGCCCGACGGUGAGGGAUGAAAGCUGGGGGAGCGAACCGGAUUAGAUACCCGGGUAGUCCCAGCUGUAAACGAUGCAGACUAGGUGUUUGGACGGCCACGUGCCGUUCUAGUGCCGCAGGGAAGCUGUUAAGUCUGCCGCCUGGGGAGUACGAUCGCAAGGUUGAAACUUAAAGGAAUUGGCGGGGGAGCACA
rnacentral:rRNA from 1 species